rnacentral:rRNA from 1 species
GAUACGGCCCAGACUCCUACGGGAGGCAGCAGUGGGGAAUAUUGCACAAUGGGCGCAAGCCUGAUGCAGCGACGCCGCGUGCGGGAUGACGGCCUUCGGGUUGUAAACCGCUUUUGACUGGGAGCAAGCCCUUCGGGGUGAGUGUACCUUUCGAAUAAGCACCGGCUAACUACGUGCCAGCAGCCGCGGUAAUACGUAGGGUGCAAGCGUUAUCCGGAAUUAUUGGGCGUAAAGGGCUCGUAGGCGGUUCGUCGCGUCCGGUGUGAAAGUCCAUCGCUUAACGGUGGAUCCGCGCCGGGUACGGGCGGGCUUGAGUGCGGUAGGGGAGACUGGAAUUCCCGGUGUAACGGUGGAAUGUGUAGAUAUCGGGAAGAACACCAAUGGCGAAGGCAGGUCUCUGGGCCGUCACUGACGCUGAGGAGCGAAAGCGUGGGGAGCGAACAGGAUUAGAUACCCUGGUAGUCCACGCCGUAAACGGUGGAUGCUGGAUGUGGGGACCAUUCCACGGUCUCCGUGUCGGAGCCAACGCGUUAAGCAUCCCGCCUGGGGAGUACGGCCGCAAGGCUAAAACUCAAAGAAAUUGACGGGGGCCCGCACAAGCGGCGGAGCAUGCGGAUUAAUUCGAUGCAACGCGAAGAACCUUACCUGGGCUUGACAUGUUCCCGACAGCCGUAGAGAUACGGUCUCCCUUCGGGGCGGGUUCACAGGUGGUGCAUGGUCGUCGUCAGCUCGUGUCGUGAGAUGUUGGGUUAAGUCCCGCAACGAGCGCAACCCUCGCCCUGUGUUGCCAGCACGUCGUGGUGGGAACUCACGGGGGACCGCCGGGGUCAACUCGGAGGAAGGUGGGGAUGACGUCAGAUCAUCAUGCCCCUUACGUCCAGGGCUUCACGCAUGCUACAAUGGCCGGUACAACGGGAUGCGACCUCGUGAGGGGGAGCGGAUCCCUUAAAACCGGUCUCAGUUCGGAUUGGAGUCUGCAACCCGACUCCAUGAAGGCGGAGUCGCUAGUAAUCGCGGAUCAGCAACGCCGCGGUGAAUGCGUUCCCGGGCCUUGUACACACCGCCCGUCAAGUCAUGAAAGUGGGUAGCACCCGAAGCCGGUGGCCCAACCUUUUGGGGGGAGCCGUCUAAGGUGAGACUCGUGAUUGGGACUAAGUCGUAACAAGGUAGCCGUACCGGAAGGUGCGGCUG